GACGAACGCUGGCGGCGUGCCUAAUACAUGCAAGUCGAGCGGAAGUUGGAGAGCUUGCUCUUCAACUUUAGCGGCGGACGGGCGAGUAACACGUGGGCAACCUGCCCUGCAGAUCGGGAUAACUCCGGGAAACCGGUGCUAAUACCGAAUAGUUUUCGCCACCUCCUGGUGGCGUACGGAAAGACGGUUUCGGCUGUCACUGCAGGAUGGGCCCGCGGCGCAUUAGCGAGUUGGGGGGGUAACGGCCCACCAAGGCGACGAUGCGUAGCCGACCUGAGAGGGUGAUCGGCCACACUGGGACUGAGACACGGCCCAGACUCCUACGGGCGGCAGCAGUAGGGAAUCUUCCGAAAUGGACGAAAGUCUGACGGAGCAACGCCGCGUGAGUGACGAAGGUUUUCGGAUCGUAAAACUCUGUUGUGAGGGAAGAACAAGUACCACUUAACUACUGGUACCUUGACGGUACCUCACCAGAAAGCCACGGCUAACUACGUGCCAGCCGCCGCGGUAAUAC
rnacentral:rRNA from 1 species